rnacentral:rRNA from 1 species
GAUGAACGCUGGCGGCGUGCCUAAUACAUGCAAGUCGAACGGAAAGGCCCUGCUCUUGUGGGGUGCUCGAGUGGCGAACGGGUGAGUAAAACGUGAGUAUAAUGCCCUUGACUUUGGGAUAAAUUCAGGAGAAUGGGGCUCAUAUCGGGUAUGAGCUACUGAUGCACAGGGGGGGAUGGUAAGAUUCGGCGGUUGGGGCUGGACUAGCGGGUUAUCCGCUUGUUGGUGAGGUAGGGGAUUUCCAAGGGUAUGAAGGGUAGGCGGCCUGAGAGGGUGACCGGCCACAUGGGGACUGAGAUACGGCGCAGACGCCUACGGUACGCAACAGGCGAGAACAUUGCACAAUAGCGCGACGCCUGAUGCGGCAACGCCGCGUGCGUGAUGACGUCUUUCUGGUUGUAAACCGAUUUCUACUUUGACGAAGCGGGAGUGACGGUAAUUAGUAAAGAAGCACCGGCUAACUACGUG